AACGAACGCUGGCGGCAGGCUUAACACAUGCAAGUCGAACGAGAUCUUCGGAUCUAGUGGCAGACGGGUGAGGAACACGUGGGAACAUCCCUUUCAGUUCGGAAUAACGUUGGGAAACUAACGCUAAUACCGGAUACGUCCUUCGGGAGAAAGAUUUAUCGCUGAAAGAUUGGCCCGCGUCUGAUUAGCUAGUUGGUGGGGUAACGGCUCACCAAGGCUACGAUCAGUAGCUGAUCUGAGAGGAUGAUCAGCCACAUUGGGACUGAGACACGGCCCAAACUCCUACGGGAGGCAGCAGUGGGGAAUAUUGGACAAUGGGCGCAAGCCUGAUCCAGCCAUGCCGCGUGAGUGAUGACGGCCUUCGGGUUGUAAAACUCUUUUGUCCGGGAAGAUAAUGACUGUACCGGAAGAAUAAGCCCCGGCAAACUUCGUGCCAGCCGCCGCAGUAA
rnacentral:rRNA from 1 species